rnacentral:rRNA from 1 species
GACGAACGCUGGCGGCGUGCUUAACACAUGCAAGUCGAACGGAAAGGCCCUGCUUUUGUGGGGUGCUCGAGUGGCGAACGGGUGAGUAACACGUGAGUAACCUGCCCUUGACUUUGGGAUAACUUCAGGAAACUGAGGCUAAUACCGGAUAGGAGCUCCUGCUGUAUGGUGGGGGUUGGAAAGUUUCGGCGGUUGGGGAUGGACUCGCGGCUUAUCAGCUUGUUGGUGGGGUAGUGGCUUACCAAGGCUUUGACGGGUAGCCGGCCUGAGAGGGUGACCGGCCACAUUGGGACUGAGAUACGGCCCAGACUCCUACGGGAGGCAGCAGUGGGGAAUAUUGCACAAUGGGCGGAAGCCUGAUGCAGCAACGCCGCGUGCGGGAUGACGGCCUUCGGGUUGUAAACCGCUUUCGCCUGUGACGAAGCGUGAGUGACGGUAAUGGGUAAAGAAGCACCGGCUAACUACGUGCCAGCAGCCGCGGUGAUACGUAGGGUGCGAGCGUUGUCCGGAUUUAUUGGGCGUAAAGGGCUCGUAGGUGGUUGAUCGCGUCGGAAGUGUAAUCUUGGGGCUUAACCCUGAGCGUGCUUUCGAUACGGGUUGACUUGAGGAAGGUAGGGGAGAAUGGAAUUCCUGGUGGAGCGGUGGAAUGCGCAGAUAUCAGGAGGAACACCAGUGGCGAAGGCGGUUCUCUGGGCCUUUCCUGACGCUGAGGAGCGAAAGCGUGGGGAGCGAACAGGCUUAGAUACCCUGGUAGUCCACGCUGUAAACGGUGGGUACUAGGUGUGGGGUCCAUUCCACGGGUUCCGUGCCGUAGCUAACGCUUUAAGUACCCCGCCUGGGGAGUACGGCCGCAAGGCUAAAACUCAAAGGAAUUGACGGGGCCCCGCACAAGCGGCGGAGCAUGCGGAUUAAUUCGAUGCAACGCGUAGAACCUUACCUGGGUUUGACAUGGAUCGGGAGCGCUCAGAGAUGGGUGUGCCUCUUUUGGGGUCGGUUCACAGGUGGUGCAUGGCUGUCGUCAGCUCGUGUCGUGAGAUGUUGGGUUAAGUCCCGCAACGAGCGCAACCCUUGUUCACUGUUGCCAGCACGUUAUGGUGGGGACUCAGUGGAGACCGCCGGGGUCAACUCGGAGGAAGGUGGGGAUGACGUCAAGUCAUCAUGCCCCUUAUGUCCAGGGCUUCACGCAUGCUACAAUGGCUGGUACAGAGAGUGGCGAGCCUGUGAGGGUGAGCGAAUCUCGGAAAGCCGGUCUCAGUUCGGAUUGGGGUCUGCAACUCGACCUCAUGAAGUCGGAGUCGCUAGUAAUCGCAGAUCAGCAACGCUGCGGUGAAUACGUUCCCGGG